rnacentral:rRNA from 1 species
GCUACGGGGGGCAGCAGUGAGGAAUAUUGGGCAAUGGACGAGAGUCUGAACCAGCCAAGGAGCGGGAAGGAGGACGGCCCGAUGGGGUGUAAACUUCUGUUAUAGGGGAAUAAAACGUGCCACGUGUGGGAUUUUGUAUGUACCAUAUGAAUAAGGAUCGGCUAACGCCGUGCCAGCAGCCGCGGUAAUACGGAGGAUCCGAGCGUUAUCCGGAUUUAUUGGGUUUAAAGGGAGCGUAGGUGGAUUGUUAAGUCAGUUGUGAAAGUUUGCGGCUCAACCGUAAAAUUGCAGUUGAAACUGGCAGUCUUGAGUACAGUAGAGGUGGGCGGACUUCGUGGUGUAGCGGU